rnacentral:tRNA from 1 species
GCCCGCGUAGCUCAAUUGGCAGAGCAACGGUUUUGUAAACCGUAGGUUGGGGGUUCGAUUCCUCUCGCGGGCUCCA